UACAGAGGUCUCAAGCGUUGUUCGGAUUCAUUGGGCGUAAAGGGUGCGUAGGUGGCGCCAUAAGUGGGGUGUGAAAUCUCGAGGCUUAACUUCGAAACUGCAUUCCAUACUGUGGUGCUCGAGGACUGGAGAGGAGACUGGAAUUUACGGUGUAGCAGUGAAAUGCGUAGAGAUCGUAAGGAAGACCAGUGGCGAAGGCGGGUCUCUGGACAGUUCCUGACGCUGAGGCACGAAGGCCAGGGGAGCAAACGGG
rnacentral:rRNA from 1 species